CCUACGGGAGACAGCAGUGGGGGAUAUUGCACAAUGGGGGGAACCCUGAUGCAGCGACGCCGCGUGGGUGAAGGAGCGUUUCGGCGCGUAAAGCCCUAUUGGCAGGGAAGAAGAUGACGGUACCUGACCAAGAAGCCCCGGCUAACCACGUGCCAGCAGCCGCGGUAACACGUAGGGGGCAAGCGUUAUCCGGAUUUACUGGGGGUAAAGGGGGCGCAGACGGGAGUGCAAGCCAGGAGUGAAAGCCCGGGGCCCAACCCCGGGACUGCUCUUGGAACUGCAUGGCUGGAGUACAGGAGGGGCAGGCGGAAUGCCUAGUGUAGCGGUGAAAUGCGUAGAUAUUAGGAGGAACACCGGUGGCGAAGGCGGCCUGCUGGACUGUGACUGACGUUGAGGCCCGAAAGCGUGGGGAGCGAACAGGAUUAGAUACCCGGGUAGUC
rnacentral:rRNA from 1 species